rnacentral:rRNA from 1 species
GAGUUUGAUCGUGGCUCAGAUUGAACGCUGGCGGAAUGCUUUACACAUGCAAGUCGAGCGGCAGCGCGGGGCAACCUGGCGGCGAGCGGCGAACGGGUGAGUAAUACAUCGGAACGUACCCAGUUGUGGGGGAUAGCCCGGCGAAAGCCGGAUUAAUACCGCAUACGACCUGAGGGUGAAAGCGGGGGAUCGCAAGACCUCGCGCAGUUGGAGCGGCCGAUGGCGGAUUAGCUAGUUGGUGGGGUAAAGGCCUACCAAGGCGACGAUCCGUAGCUGGUCUGAGAGGACGACCAGCCACACUGGAACUGAGACACGGUCCAGACUCCUACGGGAGGCAGCAGUGGGGAAUUUUGGACAAUGGGGGCAACCCUGAUCCAGCCAUUCCGCGUGAGUGAAGAAGGCCUUCGGUUGUAAG